rnacentral:lncRNA from 1 species
ACAAAAUAGGGUGCUAGUGGCCUACUUUUACUAGUUAGGGUGGCUAAAAUGAUUUUUUUUUCUCUUUGUUUCUGCCAUAGUAGAUUUCCUUUGACCUUUGGACAGAUUUUGAACAGUGUUUUGCACACAAUGUCAGUUUUUGUCGGACAGACAUUUGGUGAACCAAAAUCUGUCCAAAUUUGCCUAUUUAAGAGUUGCCAUUUCCUCACUUUGGGGGGACUCCAUCACACUUCCAGGGGAUCAUUUUCUGCUUUUGAACAUUCAACAACAAAAAAAAAGUUAGCAGCGGAAGCAUCCUUUAGUAAGCUGAAAUUGUAAGUCUUAAGAGUGAAUCUUAAAGUGCAAACCUUUUUUUUUAGAAAAGUAUAAGUCCUCUUUAGAGUUUGCUUCUGGGUUUCUUCUCUGAGUUUUCGAGCUGUUUUAACACAGAUUUGCUAUUGGUUUUGCUGUUGUUGUACUGCUAUUUUUAUGCUGCUUUAGUUGCUGAGCUUCCAUUCUUUGUUGUUGUAUUUAUUAUUCUGCGACUCAAGUAACUCUUUAAUCUUAUGUUGCAGAUGUUUUCACACUAACAAGAAGAUUUGAACUCAUUUUGAUUGUUGAGAGCAUGUCCAUUUAAAUAAAUGAGUGCUUAGCUAAAUUUCUUUAUUGUUUAAAUAUAUCUUGUUGUAGUUCAU